rnacentral:rRNA from 1 species
AAGUCGUAACAAGGUUUCCGUAGGUGAACCUGCGGAAGGAUCAUUAUUGAAUAUAAACUUGGAUAGACUGCUGCUGGCUUCUCUUUGAGGGGCAUGUGCACGUUUGUCCUCUUUAUUUUUCCACCUGUGCACCUUUUGUAGGCUUGGAUUAUCACUGGUUCUAUAACGUGUCUUUCAAAGGCAUAAGAAUUGUUUUGGGGCUGCUGUGUUUAAACGCAUGUUUAUCAGCUUUCCCUUUUAUUUUCCAAGUCUAUGUUUGCUAUAUACACUCCAGAAAUGUAAUAGAAUGCUGUACUUUAGGUCAUUUGUACCUAUAAUAAAAAUCAGUACAACUUUCAGCAACGGAUCUCUUGGCUCUCGCAUCGAUGAAGAACGCAGCGAAAUGCGAUAAGUAAUGUGAAUUGCAGAAUUCAGUGAAUCAUCGAAUCUUUGAACGCAUCUUGCGCUCCCUGGUAUUCCAAGGAGCAUGCCUGUUUGAGUAUCAUUAAAUUAUCAACUGUGCCAAUUUGGUUACAGAUUGGAUGUGGGAGAUUUCUUGCAGGCUUUUAACUUUCUCUUUGAGAAAGAAAAGUCAGCUCUCCUGAAAUGUAUUAGCAGUGCCUUUGUUGGUUCAUUAGGUGUGAUAAUUUAUCUACAUCUUCAAAUGGUACCUUCAUUUGUAAAGGUCAUAUUGCUUCUAAUUGUCUUUGGGACAAAACACGUAUAAUGCGUGACAGACUUGAUCUCAAAUCAGGCAGGACUACCCGCUGAACUUAAGCAUAUCAAUAAGCGGAGGAAAAGAAACUAACAAGGAUUCCCCUAGUAACUGCGAGUGAAGCGGGAAGAGCUCAAAUUUAAAAUCUGGCGUGCCUCUGGCCGUCCGAGUUGUAGUCUGGAGAAGCGUUUUCCGUGUUGGACCGUGUACAAGUCUCUUGGAACAGGGCGUCAUAGAGGGUGAGAAUCCCGUCUUUGACACGGACUACCAAUGCUUUGUGAUGCGCUCUCAAAGAGUCGAGUUGUUUGGGAAUGCAGCUCAAAAUGGGUGGUAAAUUCCAUCUAAAGCUAAAUAUAGGCGAGAGACCGAUAGCGAACAAGUACCGUGAGGGAAAGAUGAAAAGCACUUUGGAAAGAGAGUUAAACAGUACGUGAAAUUGCUGAAAGGGAAACGCUUGAAGUCAGUCACGUCUGCCAGGACUCAGCCUCGCUUCUGCUUGGUGUACUUUCUGGUUUGAUGGGCCAACAUCAAUUUUGACCGUUGGAGAAAGGCCUUGGGAAUGUGGCACCUUCGGGUGUGUUAUAGCCCUUUGCUGUAUACAACGGUUGGGAUUGAGGACUGCAGCACGCCUUCAUGGCCGGGGUUCGCCCACGUACGUGCUUAGGAUGUUGGCAUAAUGGCUUUAAGCGACC